rnacentral:rRNA from 1 species
AGCACCGCCACGGGAAUACGAAGGGUGCAAGCGUUACUCGGAAUUACUGGGCGUAAAGCGUGCGUAGGUGGUGGUUUAAGUCCGUUGUGAAAGCCCUGGGCUCAACCUGGGAAUUGCAGUGGAUACUGGGUCACUAGAGUGUGGUAGAGGAUAGUGGAAUUUCCGGUGUAGCAGUGAAAUGCGUAGAGAUCGGAAGGAACAUCUGUGGCGAAGGCGACUAUCUGGGCCAACACUGACACUGAGGCACGAAAGCGUGGGGAGCAAACAGGAUUAGAUACCCCAGUAGUCCCUGUCUCUUAUACA